rnacentral:ncRNA from 1 species
CAUGGAUGAAGCCGUCAAGGUUCCCCGGGCGCGAGCCCGCGGGCGAAGAGGGAAUUCGGUGAGCCCGUCGGGUGCGGAGACAUCCGGGGCGAGGCCGAGGCUGCCCCCGCAACUGUGAGCGGAGAGUUCCCGCCGCCUUAGGCCACUGGUGCCCUCGCACCGGGAAGGCCAGGCGGGAGCGAUGAUCCGCGAGCCAGGAGACCUGCCUUGGCCCGCGCCGCGAG